AAACAACUUUGAUAUUCCACAGGACUACUUUCCGCUGCUUCCGAAAGAUCUCUGUCUCGAUUUUUAUGUGGAGGUUUAGUUGAACAUGGGGAAAUUAAGAGUUGCUGCUCACAGAAAAACUGAUGCGAAGGCUGGAUGAAAAGAAACACCCAUCAGAGCUUCUAACAACUCGAAGGUCAGUGAUUUCUUCCUUCUCCUCUCUUAUUCUGUUUCUGCUAUUUCAAUUUGUAGGAUUUAAUUUAGGGUUUUAAGUUGGAAAAUUUAAUUAAACAUUUUAAGUUGCAGAGCUUAUUGUGUUGUUAAUUUUGAUUGUUGAGAGUGGGUUUUGCUUAAGCUUUUGAGUUCUUAGUUUAUAUCAAGACAUUUGAUAUAGUUUCAUUUAUUUUGUGAAAAUAAAUACUUUUAUGUGAAGAUAUUUCUUUGGAGUUCAGUAAAUUGAUUGCUCUUUUGGUUGUAAAUUUGACAUUAGUAAAUUCUGGACUUUAAUUUCAAUGAUUACCCAGUAUUAAUUGGCUAUUGAUUAGCAUUUGUUUUCUGGAAUUUG